UGGGGAAUAUUGGACAAUGGGGGGAACCCUGAUCCAGCCAUGCCGCGUGUGUGAAGAAGGUCUUAGGAUUGUAAAGCACUUUAAGUUGGGAGGAAGAGCAGUUAACUAAUAUUUGACUGUUUUGACGUUACCGACAGAAUAAGCACCGGCUAACUUCGUGCCAGCAGCCGCGGUAAUACGAAGGGUGCAAGCGUUAAUCGGAAUUACUGGGCGUAAAGCGCGCGUAGGUGGUUCAGUAAGUUAGGAGUGAAAGCCCCGGGCUUAACCUGGGAAUUGCUUCUAAAACUGCUGAGCUAGAGUACGGUAGAGGGUGGUGGAAUUUCCUGUGUAGCGGUGAAAUGCGUAGAUAUAGGAAGGAACAUCAGUGGCGAAGGCGACCACCUGGACUGAUACUGACACUGAGGUGCGAAAGCGUGGGGAGCAAACAGGAUUAGAUACCCCCGUAGUCC
rnacentral:rRNA from 1 species